UACGUAGGCAGCAAGCGUUGUCCGGAAUUAUUGGGCGUAAAGAGCUCGUAGGCGGUUUGUGCGUCUGCUGUGAAAACUCGGGGCUUAACUCCGGGCCUGCAGUGGGUACGGGCAGACUAGAGUGCGGUAGGGGAGACUGGAAUUCCUGGUGUAGCGGUGAAAUGCGCAGAUAUCAGGAGGAACACCGAUGGCGAAGGCAGUUCUCUGGGCCGUAACUGACGCUGAGGAGCGAAAGCGUGGGGAGCGAACAGG
rnacentral:rRNA from 1 species